rnacentral:rRNA from 1 species
GACGAACGCUGGCGGCGUGCUUAACACAUGCAAGUCGAGCGGUAAGGCCCUUUCGGGGGUACACGAGCGGCGAACGGGUGAGUAACACGUGGGUGACCUGCCCUCAGCUCUGGGAUAAGCCUGGGAAACCGGGUCUAAUACUGGAUAUGACUCCAUGACGCAUGUUGUGGGGUGGAAAGCCUUGUGCGGCUGAGGAUGGGCCCGCGGCCUAUCAGCUUGUUGGUGGGGUGANGGCCUACCAAGGCGACGACGGGUAGCCGGCCUGAGAGGGCGACCGGCCACACUGGGACUGAGACACGGCCCAGACUCCUACGGGAGGCAGCAGUGGGGAAUCUUGCGCAAUGGGCGAAAGCCUGACGCAGCGACGCCGCGUGGGGAUGAAGGUCUU